GAUCGAUAGGGCUGCACAGAGGUGGCACAGUUGUGCCAGAGGGCCAGACUUUGGCAGCGUGUAAGGUCUGAGGACAGGGGCACCGGAGGCCGAGGAUGAGAGGCCAGUGCCUGUUUCCAGGCAGCCAGGGCCUCAGAAACUCCGGCCGGAGCACUCACCCGUCGGUGGAGGCCGUUACCAGGGCCACCUUAUUUGCGAGCGGGUCCCGGCGGGUCAUCCCGGAGCUGGCCAUCCGCACCGAAUUCCAAGCCCGGGCACAGAGGCCUAGCAGCCCCGCCUUGUGCAUGGAUCAGACCAGCAAAAUUCCUUCUCCAAGAAAGUCUGGGUCUAUGUGUGUGACAGCCCACAGGAGGGCAAAUGUUUUGAGACUGCCCAUGGAGGGGCUAAGUGGUAGCGAGGAGGCUGGACAGUCCCUCAAGCAGUGGUGGAAAUGCAAAGAACUCGGGGCACUCAAGUUCUCCCUAACCACUCUGUCCCCAGGUCUUAGCCGCCAUCUUAGUUCAAUAAAUAUUUGUUGAAUGCAAAA
rnacentral:lncRNA from 1 species